GACGAACGCUGGCGGCGUGCCUAAUACAUGCCAGUAGAACGCUGAAGGAGGAGCUUGCUUCUCUGGAUGAGUUGCGAACGGGUGAGUAACGCGUAGGUAACCUGCCUGGUAGCGGGGGAUAACUAUUGGAAACGAUAGCUAAUACCGCAUAAUAGCAGUUAUUGCAUGAUAACUGUUUGAAAGGUGCAAUUGCACCACUACCAGAUGGACCUGCGUUGUAUUAGCUAGUUGGUGGGGUAACGGCUCACCAAGGCGACGAUACAUAGCCGACCUGAGAGGGUGAUCGGCCACACUGGGACUGAGACACGGCCCAGACUCCCACGGGAGGCAGCAGUAGGGAAUCUUCGGCAAUGGACGGAAGUCUGACCGAGCAACGCCGCGUGAGUGAAGAAGGUUUUCGGAUCGUAAAGCUCUGUUGUAAGAGAAGAACGAGUGUGAGAGUGGAAAGUUCACACUGUGACGGUAUCUUACCAGAAAGGGACGGCUAACUACGUG
rnacentral:rRNA from 1 species